rnacentral:rRNA from 1 species
AAUAUUGCACAAUGGGCGCAAGCCUGAUGCAGCAACGCCGCGUGCGCGACGAAGGCCUUCGGGUCGUAAAGCGCUUUUCGGGGAGAUGAGUACGGACAUUAUCCCCGGAAGAAGGAUCGGCUAACCACGUGCCAGCAGCCGCGGUAAAACGUAGGAUCCGAGCGUUAUCCGAAUUCACUGGGCGGAAAGCGCAUGCAGGCGGCCGGACAAGUUGGAUGUGAAAGCUACACGCUCAACUGGGAGGGGACGUUCAAAACUGUGCGGCUCGAGGGCGGUAGAGGAAGGUAGAAUUCCCGGUGUAGUGGUGAAAUGCGUAGAUAUCGGGAGGAAUACCCGUGGCGAAGGCGACCUUCUGGACCGUUUCUGACGCUCAGAUGCGAAAGCUAGGGGAGCGAACGGG